UGUCAGACUUCUGAUCAAGUCAAUGGACACUGUGGAGAGCAGAGUGUGACUCACUGGCUUUCUGCAGAGGUGGUCAUGCUGGUGGCCCUGUGUUCCCUUGACAGCACUAGUGCCAUUGUUUCCAAUGAACCAAAGACCCUGGACAGUGGCUGUUGGGGGAGUGGAGCUCCGCUUUCCAGGGGUGCUGUGCUCCACUGAUAGACCUUAGACAGGCCGGUCCUGUGUCUGAUAGCUCAUCACUGGUUAAAGUUAGCCAUAAUGAACUAAAGGAGUGGGUGCAGACUGACAGGGUGUGACUGGUGACUGGGCAGAUUCUCGGGGUUCCCUAAGGGUUAUGUCGUCUGUUUUGCUUAGCAUUUUAAUUCCCAAACAACUUCUGAGGAGGUGUAGCUUUGUGAGUUGUAGUAACUUCUCAGGGAGUGGCUAAUGUUUAUCAUCUGUGAUGUGAUGCAGUGAGGCUUUAUGGGAGAAAUGUCUCCUGAGGGGACGGAGCAAUGCCUUGUGACCCUCCUUCAUCAAGGCCAUCAGCUCCUGAUGUAUGUUGGUGAGUCCUUUCAGGCCAACCAGUGUGUCCCCAUUUUGCUGCUGAGUCUGGCAAUGACCACCACCUGCUGAUCCACUGACUGGAUCCAGCUGUAGUCUGGUCAAACCUUUGCCCAGUAUUUGGAGAAAACACUGAAAGUGGUGGGUAAGCCUCCUUGAUGACUUUAGCUGCCUUAGUAUCUGCAGGGCAUGUAAGCUUCUCAAGGGUACUUCAGCCGCAGAGACCCCUGGCUGUAGGGAUCCUACCUUUUCUUUCAGAAGGGGACUUUUCUAGUGUGAGGGUGACUGGGUUAGAUAGGAGACCUUGCCAGUUUCUUUAGCUACUACCUAACUACUGCGGGGUGACAGUGUUCCAGUCCAGGUACCUGGGGCAGGUCGAGAUGAGUGCAAAGGAGGGUGACUGAGGGACUGAGGGGGACUGAAAGGGACUGAGAGGGACUGAGGGACAGACCACUCCUUCUGACCUCUCUGUUGUGGUGAGAGGUAGCUUCCCUGGUGGUAGGGAGGCAUUUUGGGAAGUUUGCCUUGCUGGUUGUCUCCUCCCCGGCAUUAACAUGGCUUCCCACUCUUGAGGAAUCUCUGAUGAAGUGUUCCUCAGCUAGUGUAAAGGCCCUAAAGACUGUCUACCCGUGGCAGCAAACAUAUGAGGUAUGGUGCAAAUUACGCACAUUACAUUUCAAAAUACCUUCAAGUAUACUGUGUUUUGGGGUCAAGAAUUUAGUCCACCAGUCAGUCUCUGCUGGAAGGAGAGAGAGCUAGCCACUUAUCUUUUGCCAGUCUACAAGUAAGUUACUUGAGGGUCAGAAAAGGUCACUGGCUACCUGGCACAUCCUCUCUUUGAAUUGUUAAAAUUCAGGAAGUCCAAAAGUAACUGUUUUGCUGUGAUCAUGAUUAUUUCUCAUUUUAUUUCGAAAUUAUUUUCCCUGUGGAAGUGCACUUAUUUCUGAAAAAUCUUAAAGAAGCCAACACUUAAUAAAUACGAGACACUUGAGACUACUAGAAAUAUUUUUUAUUACAAAAUGUGAGGAGCUAAAGGAAUAAAGUAAUAGAAGUGUAUUGUAGUUUUUUUUUUUUUAAGCAAUAUAAUCUAGCAGUUGUCCAGAACUGUCAGGCUUCUGAGCCCAUCCAGCGUUUUGAAGGUCGUUGGGCAGGGGCAGUGGGCAAACGAGAAUAAAGCCACGUUUACAAAAACU
rnacentral:lncRNA from 1 species